UACGUAGGGUCCGAGCGUUGUCCGGAAUUAUUGGGCGUAACGAGCUCGUAGGCGGUUUGUCGCGUCUGCUGUGAAAUCCCGAGGCUCAACCUCGGGUCUGCAGUGGGUACGGGCAGACUGGAGUGCGGUAGGGGAGAAUGGAAUUCCUGGUGUAGCGGUGGAAUGCGCAGAUAUCAGGAGGAACACCGAUGGCGAAGGCAGUUCUCUGGGCCGUAACUGACGCUGAGGAGCGAAAGCGUGGGGAGCGAACAGG
rnacentral:rRNA from 1 species